rnacentral:rRNA from 1 species
GACGGAAGGUGCAAGCGUUGCUCGGAAUCACUGGGCGUAAAGCGUGCGCAGGCGGUUCGCUAAGACAGAUGUGAAAUCCCCGGGCUUAACCUGGGAACUGCAUUUGUGACUGGCGGGCUAGAGUAUGGCAGAGGGGGGUAGAAUUCCACGUGUAGCAGUGAAAUGCGUAGAGAUGUGGAGGAAUACCGAUGGCGAAGGCAGCCCCCUGGGCCAAUACUGACGCUCAUGCACGAAAGCGUGGGGAGCAAACAGG